rnacentral:misc_RNA from 1 species
ACAUGAUCACAUCACUUGAUCGAACGCGACGCCAGCGCCACGCGGCGGCGAAAAGUUGAAACAAAAUGAGUCGCUUGCGUCGAGGUUGCUCGAUUCCGCCGCGUUGCGCCACGCCGUCGCCGGCCGCCAUUCGCCGCCAGUCGGCGUACGUACUUUUACCGUGCGGACGUAUUGCGUCACGUGUCUCGUCGCAUUACUCACGACUUGUUUACACACAGUAAACUAACAAUACGAAUUCUUAUUGGUGCGUGAUGAGCCAAACACUUAUAGUUAUACCCUUGUUAAAUCAAUAUAAUUGUAUCGCGUGCUGCUACUGAAUACUGACCUUGUUUGCGCUAGGUGGAUACGGCGCGGAUGCUAUCUGUGAAGUGCGCUGUGUUUCGCUGUUCGGACUCUGUUGGAAAGAUGUCGACGUUGAGUGUGAGGGCGCCCGGCCUGCAGGCCACCACGGUGCUGGACACGAGGUCGCUGCGCGUGCACGGCGUCACCGCACUCGAAGGCGUCAGAAGAAACUUGUUCGGUUGCACCGACCGAGAGGAAAACAGAAGAUUUGUUGAGAGAGAGUUGGCCCGCCAAUUGGAAUUGGACAGCCAGAGAUGGGGUUUCGACUUCGCAAACGAGAAACCACUGCCUACUUCGCAGAGAUUUGCUUGGCAACUCGUUCCCGCGUCUACGAUUCCUGCUGCUUUGAGAAGGUCACCCAUCACAAUCACGACGACUCCUGCAGCCAAGGCGCCGACACAGGAGCCUAAGGUUUCCAGUCCUGAGACGAGCAAAACACAGAAGAGAAUAACAGAUUUCCUGAAGCCUCGCAAGCGGUUAUCAGCCAGCGGCAAGAAGUCCCCCGCGUCUCCCAAGUGCGGGCACGGCGCGCACAUCCGCCCGCCGAAGGUUGCGAGGCUUGCGCCCGCGCACAAGCGCACCAGCUAGGCCACACUGCUGACAACACAAAAUUGAACAACCGCUUCGGCAGCUAUGCAGAUGUGGGGACAGCUCCCGACACGCGAGGAUCUCAGGGCAGACGUGACUCCUCACGAUCCCCAGUGUGAAUAUCUGGUACCAAGGACUUGACUGACCUAAACGCCUACCGAACCGUCUAUAAAACUGUUCAAUUUUGCAACACUAGUUGUCAUACUGUGCAUAUUUUUGUUUUAUUAAUUUAUUGUAAUACCGUUUCCAAAUUACUAAUAAUGUUAAGUAAUGAGUAAGUUAGCGUAAGGAAUAUCUUUAGUUCAACAAUUAAUAUAUCAUACGAUAUGUCACUGAACAUCACAGCACAAGUUUUGCUCAAUGCUUCCGCAAAUGCAGAUUUUAUACCGUUCCGUUUACAUCCCAUACUUUUGUGAAAUUUAACUUUUCCAAAUGAGUCCAUUUGACUCUUUUCCAAGUAAUUCAGAGAGCCUCAUUCAAUAUUAUAUCCGUAUCUUUAAAAAACAUUGCAAAAUCAUGCAACCGUCUUUUCAUAGCAAGCUAUAAUAAUUGCUUUAAUAAUGGUGUUCAAGAAAGUGAAAUCUAAGACGAGUGUGCGAUGUAACGGCGCUCACCAUCGGCUUUACCACAGACAUUCACAAAACUUGACAAUACCGUGACAAUUCGAUAUAAGUUAUGAUUAUAUUAUAUGAAUUAUGAUCUCUUUGAAUUAAGUUAUUUUUAGAUGAAGCUUCGGUUAAUUAUAAGAAUAUUUACAAUUCGACGUAAUUCUAAGUUUACGCAGUCACAAUUGCAAUGUCUCGCAAAUGCUAAGACGCACCAAUGGAAAUCAAAUUUUCUUUGCGUCGGAGUAUUUUUGACGCAUUCUCUUCAUAAGAUCACUUUCAGUUGUUCCACCGCUGUCCGCGGGGAACUUGCGAAAGUUUUCACAAACAGAUAGAAGUAUGAACAACACAAAUACUCAAUAAUAAAAGACAUUGUUACCUUACAAGUAACAGUUUUUGCAAUUUUAAAGUUUAAGUAGUACAAUACAGUUGAGUUUGAGUAUUUGUGUUCACAGUAAUAACUACUCGUAUUGCAAAUUAGGAUAUUUGUUUUGUUGUUGUAUUUUAAUGGUUUAUAAUAUAAUUAUAUUGAUGAUUGUUUUUUUUUUCGAAAUAUUGGUAUUCUAAAUUUUGUUCACAGUUAGUAACAGUUCGGAUAUAUCAAACCGUGGCCCUUUGUGAAAGUACAAAUUUUCUCAUCAGGUUUAGGUCGAGGGCUCACGGUCGCAGCAAAAAGACAUGCAUACCAUUCAUCAUCAUCAUACCCAUUCUAUGUUUAAUAUUGUAACAUUUAUGCUUAGUUUCGGAUAUACCAUACAUCGUGUAUGUUUAUUUUUUCUAUACAACGACAGUUGUAAAGCGUUUAUAAAGCUAACCAAAGCCGUUGUUAUGUUCGCGACGAUUCACACAAAUGAAAUUAAGUAAAUGAACUUUUAUGACUUGACAGAGAAAUAAUGAAUAAUUUUAUAUUGUUGUAAAGGUGUAUUGUGACUACAGAUGUAGUUUAUUGCCUGUUUCAAAUUGACGUUCGUAAUUUAUGAAUUUUUGUGUUUGAUUGUGGUCUCUAGAACUGACGUAGCUUUGAGUAACUCUAUUAAGUUGAUGGAAUAACAAACUAAAACGGUAUUGUAGCUUUAGCUAUAACCGUACAGAGUACUUUAACGAAAUAAUAGGUGAUUCUCAAAGAGCCUUUAGUUUGUGAGACUACACGAAGAUAAUUUAAUACAUCAGCUGAUUAGCGAGUAGCGUGACGUGACGUGAACAUGUCGGACGAGAGGUUAUUGUAAAUGUGCGUUCCCGAUGCACUGUACAUAACGUGCACUUAGUAUGUAUUUAUUAACGGCGGAACGUAUUCGUAGGUUUAAAGGAAAUUAUAGGGAUACUACAAAUAUUUAACGUAAUAUAUUACUACGAUUAAUUAUUUUAUUGGAAAGUUGAGAGGCAAAUUAUUAAUUAUGUGCCAAAUAUUCCACUCUUGUGUAUAAAUGUUGUUUGGUUUGUGAGCACGGAAUGUUAUGUGGUGGUCGAUAAAUAAAUUCAUGUGCACUCAGCAAUUUACAAUUACUUAGGUGCUAUCCUGUAAAGUUACGAACUAUAUUUUGAGAGGCACCAACCGAAUUUCUUGUUCCUUUGAUGCCAUUCAAAAUUAAUAACUUUUAGGGUGCAAAGUGCAUGAAGCAAUAAUCUAUAUCUCGCAAAUUGUUUUUGUAUGAAUAUAAAUUUAUUUAUCGUUCUCGAUGACACAUUGUUGAUCACAACACAAUGCAUGCAUUUCUUGAAACAAAUGUAAAUAUCAAACAGAAAACAAUUGAUAAUUUUUAUACUAUGUGAACUCUUAGACAUUGUGUAUUGUAAAUUAAGUUGAAAAAAAGCUUCUUUCGCUCUA